UGGGGAAUAUUGGGCAAUGGGGGAAACCCUGACCCAGCAACGCCGCGUGAAGGAAGAAGGCCUUCGGGUUGUAAACUUCUUUUAGCAGGGACGAAGGACGUGACGGUACCUGCAGAAAAAGCAACGGCUAACUACGUGCCAGCAGCCGCGGUAAUACGUAGGUUGCGAGCGUUGUCCGGAAUUACUGGGUGUAAAGGGCGUGUAGGCGGAGCUGCAAGUCAGAUGUGAAAUGUCAUGGCUCAACCAUGGAACUGCAUUUGAAACUGUGGCCCUUGAGUAUCGGAGAGGCAAGCGGAAUUCCUAGUGUAGCGGUGAAAUGCGUAGAUAUUAGGAGGAACACCAGUGGCGAAGGCGGCUUGCUGGACGACAACUGACGCUGAGGCGCGAAAGCGUGGGGAGCAAACAGG
rnacentral:rRNA from 1 species